GGGGGGAGCAGUGGCGUGGGCUGGGGAGGGGCUAGGAGGGGUCGCUUCACCCCUCACCCUCCCUUUCUGCCAUGUGGGGGCCCUGAGUGGUUGAGGAAAUGUUGUGGGCUGGGGCACCCACCGGAGGGCAGAAACUGGAGGAAGCGGGAGACAUCGCCAAGGACCCAGGGCCCUCUCCUUCCAGUUCCCCGGGCCCACCGGCUCCCGCUCACCACUCCCUCCAUAGUGCCCAGUCUAGCCUGGUCCGUCCCCGGGCUAGCAGCCUGGCCCGUGUCCGGGGUGCCUGAACGCUCUACCUCCAGAUCCCUGCUUCGGCCUCACUUUGGGGAUGACGCACCCGAGUGAGUCCUGCUUCCCUGGUAGCUCUGGAUCAGGCACCCUGCCCACCUCCCUCCCCAAAGGCCGAGUUCGAGAGUUCGUGUCCCUCCUGGAAUCGUUUGAGAGAAGGACAAACUUUUGAGUGGAUGAAAAUGAAGAGAAGCCCGUCCCGAGCAGAAAACUACCUUCCAGGUCAAGGAGUUUCUCCACGCCAAAAGGGGUUGGACUCGUCUGUAAAGAGCUUGACAUGAGGUUUGCAAACACUGGAGGAGCCAGAGAAAGAAUCUCAUACAAGAAAGAAAAUGAUGACAUUCCCGACCAGGACAAGUGGAUCUCAGGGGUCCUCUUUCCCUUGGAUGGGCUCCGGCUCAUGGCUGUCUCUCCAUGGAACACCACUGAUUAGCCAGUCCCACCGCCACUCACAUCUGCAAAAAAGGGUGGCAGCUCUGUUGAGGCCUCGGUGAAGGGGGAUACAGACUGUCUACCCAGAACAGCCUCCUUGCCACAACCUGGCCCCUCAGGGAAGGAGAGAAGAACCCAACUCACUUCACAGGAUCCGGAAUCUCAGCGGGCAGAGCCGACAGCCACAGCUGCCUCCUAGAGCCUGACACAGGAAGAGGCUUCCACCUUUGGGCUCUCCUUGCUGCCUUGGCCUCUACUCUGUUCAGUUUGCUUCUGUGUUUUUCUUCCCCAUUUGGGGAUGGCAAGGGACAGAGAAAUGAAUUGUUUCUCCCCAUGCCACUAAUACAUCCCUGUACCUCCACCAGCCUCAAAACUGCUGAUAGUAAUGAACUACAGCUUCCAGCCCUGCCCAUUAGCUACUUGAGGCAAAUUUAAAUUCUCUUCUGGGCAGGAGGAAGGGCAGGUGCUCCUUCCUUCGUCCUCCCUUGCUCAUUGAUCCAUUCUGAGGCCAUUAGGGGGUCAAAACCGAGACCAGAUUGCUUCAAUUGGUAUAAAAUUAGCAUUUCUUAUCACACCAAAUGCCCAAAUUUCUCACAUCACCCAGACCCACACCAGUUCUCUGUCCCCUCUCAAGCCAGUGAUGAUGUAAAGAUUUCCUGAGGUGGAGGAAUAGAAGGAAAAAUGAGAAACUGGCUCCAUUUAGAAGUCAAUAGCUUCAGCUAUUCAUUCCACUAAUAUUUCUUUAGUACCUACUAUGCGCAAAGCAUCGGCUCUUCCUCAGUUUGCCAUGACUAUCAAAAAAAAGAUUCUUGCCACUGUGAGGCUUCAAAGUGUUGUGCACAGAUAUACAAAUAAAUGAAUGGAAAAGAAA